UACGGGGAGGGCAAGCGUUGUUCGGAAUUACUGGGCGUAAAGGGCUCGUAGGUGGCCAAUUAAGUCAGGCGUGAAAUCCCCAGGCUCAACUUGGGAACUGCGUCUGAUACUGGUUGGCUUGAAUUCGGGAGAGGGAUGCAGAAUUCCAGGUGUAGCGGUGAAAUGCGUAGAUAUCUGGAGGAACACCGGUGGCGAAGGCGGCAUCCUGGACCAACACUGACGCUGAGGAGCGAAAGCCAGGGGAGCAAACGGG
rnacentral:rRNA from 1 species